GACGAACGCUGGCGGCGUGCUUAACACAUGCAAGUCGAACGGAAAGGCCCUGCUUUUGUGGGGUGCUCGAGUGGCGAACGGGUGAGUAACACGUGAGUAACCUGCCCUUGACUUUUGGAUAACUUCAGGAAACUGGGGCUAAUACCGGAUAGGAGCUCCUGCUGCAUGGUGGGGGUUGGAAAGUUUCGGCGGUUGGGGAUGGACUCGCGGCUUAUCAGCUUGUUGGUGGGGUAGUGGCUUACCAAGGCUUUGACGGGUAGCCGGCCUGAGAGGGUGACCGGCCACAUUGGGACUGAGAUACGGCCCAGACUUCUACGGGAGGCAGCAGUGGGGAAUAUUGCACAAUGGGCGGAAGCCUGAUGCAGCAACGCCGCGUGCGGGAUGACGGCCUUCGGGUUGUAAACCGCUUUCGCCUGUGACGAAGCGUGAGUGACGGUAAUGGGUAAAGAAGCACCGGCUAACUACGUG
rnacentral:rRNA from 1 species